rnacentral:lncRNA from 1 species
CCAAAAAGAAAACGGGAAAUCUGCAAGAAGAGGAUUAUGAUUGGCAAAAUAGAGACCAAAGAGAACAAAACUAUUACUAAUGUUUGAAACAAAUUUAGAUCAAUUAGCAUCAUGCUUUGUUACCAGCUGUAGGCCAAAUUGGUUGAAAAUGGUUUCAGUAAAGCACGGUCUCAUUUGCUUCUUUGUUUAACCCCAAUGGUUAGGCUUGCUCUAGAACCCUUGAGAUUCUCAUUAUGACAUUAAUGAUUUGAAUGAACCAACAGCCCCUUUUUCUUCUUUAUUUUGUAACUGCAAGCUUUAAGUUGAUAUAAAUAUGUUUUCCAAUGUAGUAUUCUUGUUUGCUUAGAUCAAUGUCAAAAACCUUGCCUCUAAUGCUUCCCUUACUUCUCCACUUUUUUUUUUUUUUUUAAAUUCUUUGUGGGGUCUUAUUAAAUACAGGUUGUUUAUGCCAUUCUAAAGCUAGCAAAGCAGUUGGCUUGACAAUCAAAUCUUGGAGAAACAAGUCAACCCAACUCAUCACUGUACCUUCAUUCUUCUGUGGGGGUUCUAUCUUUGAUGUGGUACUUCGUCGGAUGCAUCCUUCUCUUGUGGUUUUAUCUGUAAUAAAUGAACUUCAAUUUGGUUUCAAUGUGAUUGGAUUGUUGAUGUUGUAAUUCAACUUUGUACUUGAUAAUCCUGCUUCUAGUUUGCAUCAUUUUUUACUAUGUGGUUAUGUUUCCUGUGGCUUAAUUGUCUCAUUUGAUCUUGGAACUUGCACAUUUAUAUAUAUAUAUAUUGAACCAUCCCACAGGUAUAUACCACUUCUUGAAAUGGUGUUUUAUUUAGGUGGCCUUUUUGCUAUUGUGAACCAUCCCAAUGCUAAGCAGGAUCUGCUACCUUGGUAAUGCUAUAGCGCUACUGAAAGGCUUUGUACUUAGAUCAUCUUGAUUUUAAUUAAUUUGCAUCAUUUCAUUAUUUGAUUGUAAGUGUAUUUUCUCAUCUUGCGAAUUGGACUUAAUAAUCUAAGUUGUUUGCUUAUCAAUUAUACUUUUUACAAAACAAGUCCAGGAAAAGAUUGCAAACAGGGUUACAGGAUUGCUGGGAUUUCAAUUUUAUGUGUAUGCAUAUUAUUUAAUUUCUUAGGAUUAGAGCUCAUUUAUUUAUUUAUACUAGAUUUAUGGCACACUCAAUUGUGUAAAUUUUGGUUACAAUGAUAAAAUUAGUUCACAUCGUGCAUAAAGUUCUAAAUUCAAAUCAAUUUAUAGUAAGUUUUUAUUGAUUUAUAUUGUGUAAAAAAACAAAAACACUCUCAUUAGAAAUAAUUAAAGUUAAAUAUGGGUGAAUAUUUUAAUAAUUCCGUAGUUAACUUAAUACCUAACAGAAUCGAUAUAGUACUUAAAAUAAGUAUACACGUAAGUAUAGAUGAUGACUAUAAAAUAAUUUAGGCACUAAUUUCAGAGUGUUGUUAUAUCCAAUACCCACCACCUAGAGGCUUUCAAGCUAUAGAAAGGGUCCAAAACUCUAUCUAUUCCUUGCAUCUGAUGGUGGGGUAAUGUUUAGACAUAAUCUAGAUUUGGAUUUGAUUAUCUAGAAUUUUCAAAUUAAAUUGAUUUGGUUUCAGAAUUAGAAUAAAAAGCUAGUUUUGAAAUUUAUUUUAUUUAAGUUGGAAUGUAUUUUAUUUUGAGUCUAAUUUAAUUAAUAAAAUAAUUUUAAUUUAAUAUAUUAAGUCAAGAUUUUUAGUUGAUUAAGCAAUUUAUUAGUGAUUAAUGGAACUAGUUCAAAAAUUUAUCUUAACUGAAAUAAUUACAUUAAAAAAAUUUAAAAUAUCAUAGAGUGAACAUGAUAUAGUUUACUUUUUUUCAUCCUACUUAUGAGUCUUCUUGAAUAGUUUCAUUAUCUUCACAAUUUGCAUUCAUGUAGUUAUAUCACUCUACUUUUAGUUAUCCAUAAUUAAUUUUUUGAAAAAAUAUAUAUAACAAUGAAAAGUUAAGAAAUUUCAACCAAAAAAAAAAAAAAACACUUUUUGUUGAGGCUAUAGAUCAAAUGGCUAUAUUUGUUAAAUGACUACUCCAACCGUUAAAACCAUCUUUGUGAAAAAAAUCAGCUUGAUCAAGAUUGUAUACAGGAGCUAGAAUUGAAUGACUAAUAAUUUAAAUUGUUUUAAAAAAAUUAUUCAACUUUAACAAUUUCUUUUGAGAUUAAAAAAAUUUAAUCAAUUUUUUAAUAAAUUAAAUUUUAUCCAUCCCUAAUCUUUUAAAUAUAAAGAAAGACCCUAAACAGAUUUUUUAUUAAAAAAAUUAUAAGAUGAUAGAUAGCUACUUAUCAUUAAAUGUAGAAAAUAUUAAAUUACUUUUAUUUUAUUAAAAUAUUAAAAUAAAUUAUUUUUUAAAAUGAAAUAUUCAAAUUACCCUAUGUAUCUUUUAUCCAAAACUAUCUACAAUAAUAUAAAAUAUUAUAUUAAUAAAAUUAAAAUUAAUAAAACAAAUAAUCUUUUAAAAUCAAUAUUUACUUUUGUUAAAACAAUAUAAUUAUAUUCGAUACUUAUAUUUACUAAUUUAUCAAAUAAUUUUUAAUAUAAAUUUAAAACUUAUAAAAUUUAAUGGUAAAAAUUCAGUAGUUAAAUUUUUAAUAAUUAAAAUUUUAAUUUAUCAUUAGAUUAUGUAAGAAACAACAAUAAUAUAUAAAUAAUGAAAGUCAAUUACGUUCAUUGUCUUCCAUUAAAGAAAAGUUACACUCACAGUUUUUCAGUGAUAUUUCAGAUUUAUUUUUUAAUUAGUUUUUUAAUAAUAUAAUUUUUUUAUCGUAAUCAAGAUAUUCACAGUAGAUAGUAGUUACUAAUCUCUUUGUCGCAGGUAAAUAAUGUAUUUUUAAUUAUAAUAAUUAGUAUAUUCGUUAUUUAAAUUAUUGAAGAUAAUUAAAUUAUAUUAUCUUAUUUUAAAAAUCAAACUUAUAAUAAUAAAAAAUUUUAAAUGAUAAUUAAAGCAUUUAUAUUAUAUUUAAUGUAGAAUAUAAUUUUACUUCAUUUAAUUUAUACAGAACAACAUUACUAAUAAUAAUAAUAUAAUUAACAUAUAAAUUUUAUUUUGUCAUUCAAAUGCAAUGCUAAUAAAAAAAUUGUAAAAAUUAUAAUAAAAAAAGUAAUAUAUCAUAGGGAUCAUAUAUAAAAUCACUUAAUAAAAAAAAUUUAAUCUUCACAAAAUUCCAAUCUAUCCCAAAUAAAGUCAUAAUAAUAAAUUUCUUGAUAUUAAUCAAUAAAGUUUAAAACAAAAAAUAUAUAUAUUAUCAAAUUAGGAAAACCUACUUGAAAAUCUUGAAAAAUUAAUAUUUAUCAUAUAAAAUUCUAGAGAGAAAAAGAGAAUACGAAAAAUAUUGGAGAAAGUGAUGAAUAUUAAAAAGAAAAAGAAUAAGGAGUUUUGAGAUUUUGAGUAGGUUCAGAGAUAUUUAUUUCUUUUAUAUAAAUAAAUUAUUUUUAUAACAAAAUGUAAUAUCCAAAAAAAUUUACAGUAAGAUAUUAUCUUUGAUAUAAUAAAUAAGGAAAUAAAAUAAAAAAAAAGGAAAAUUUUAGAGCUAAGUCAACAUGGGGAAGUAUAUUAUAUUACAUAUAAUAUAAUAAGUAGAGUAGAUUAUAGAAAAGAUCCAUAAUAAUUAGACCUCCUCUGCUUUCCCCCAUAUUUGUUUUCCGGCCUCUUAGACUUUUGUCUAGCAAAUAUUACAACUUCUAGUUUCCAUAAGUUGUGGAUUAGUAUUUAUAUUUUAACUUGAUUAAUUUAAGCCAUUAUAUUUUUCUAAUCGGUCUUAAUUCCUGUAAUUUUUAAAUUAUUAAAUAUAAUUAAAUUAUUUUAUUUUAUUUAAUAAUUCAAAUAUUAUAAUAAUGAUAACUUUCAAAUUAUAAUUAAAUCACUUUAAUUAUAUUCAAUAUAAAUAUAUUUUUACUUCAUAUAAUUCAUACAAAGUAACAUUACUAAAAAUAAUAGCAUAAUUAACAUAUACCAAUUAUUUUAUCAUUCAAAUAUAGUGCUAAUAUUUUUUAAAUAAUUAUUGAAGUCUUCAUUAUUCAAUGUACUAUUCAUUAAAUUUUUAUAUAUGAAAUAUAAAAUACUUAUUAUAUAAAUUAUUUAAAUUUGCUAUUUUGGAACCAACAUAUAUUUUCCAUAGAAACGCAAUGAUUAAAUUAUAAAUUAAUUUAAUAUAAAUAUUAACUUUUUAUUUACUAUUCUAAAUUUUAGCAGAAUCAAAUUUUUUAUAAUUUUUUUAAUUUAUAAGUAUGAUAAAUUUUAUUAUCAAAUAAAUUUUUUUAACCAAACAUUUUAGUAAAAUUAAUUUUUUAUAAAUAUGAUUAAUCUUAUAAAUAAUAAAAUAUUUUAAAAUAAUAAAUUUAAUAAUAUAACAAACAAUAAAAAUUAUAUUGAUUAGUUCGAAUCUAAACUCGUAUUUUUAUAUAUAUUAGUCUUUGACAUAUGUGCAAUGUUUAUAUUUUUAUUAUUCUUUUUACAAUAUUAAAGAAGUACUUAUGUUUGUUUGAAAGAUGGAUAUAUCGCAUAUAUAUAUUUUAUUAUCUUUACAAAAUUAAUUAAAAUAUUAUAAUAAAAUAAUUUAGUAUAACAUAUAAAAUAAACUAAAUAAAUGUGUGAUCAUAAUGAAUGAAGAUUAUAAUUUUGCAUCAUUAUCGAUUUAAACGAUCUUUCAUCUCUUUCUUAUAGUGUUGUCAUUUGACAAUCACUUGAAAUUUCCUUUGAAAACCUAUUACUUUAAUACUCAAUAUUUUUUAGAUACUUAAAACUUAUCAAUCUAACAGUCUUCAUUUGUUGAAUAAUAUUUAUAAUAAUAGAUCUUAAUUUUAAUUGGUAUAUAAAUAUAACACUAAUUAAAUGAUAACUGAUUUAAAAUAAUAUUUAUUAUUAAUAAUUAAUAUACUCAAUUGUAUAGUUCAAACCAAUAAAAACUCUAUUAUACAAAAAAUAUUAUUAUUAUAAUAAUUUUAUCUAUUAACUUUUAUUGAGACUUUAUCUAUUACUAGUAUACCUAUCAUACCCAUAUUCGUGUGAAAAUAUUUAGAAUGUAUGUGACCGUAUUUUCAAAUGAAAAAAAAAAUCUAUUAUUUAAAAAAAUAUUUUAAACUCAUACUUUUAUAUAUAUAUCAAACUCGUGCACAUCUAUAUUAUUAUUAUUAUUAUUUUGUACAAGAGGGACAUGCUACAAAAUUGAUGUGAAUAAAAUCAUAAAAGAAUUUAAAAUGAUAAGAUAUUACUUAUUGAUUAAAUUGAAUAGUUUAAGUAAUAAUGAAAAUAUAAUUAAAGAUGGAUUAUUUUAAUAAUUGUUAUGAUUUAAAUAAAGGUAAAAUAACAACUCUUUCUUAAAAAUUUAUGAUUAAAUAUUAAAUUUCAAAAAAUAAAAAGUAUUAAAGAAAUUAGAUUAAAGUUUGAUUUAAUUUAUAUAUGCAUACUAAUAAUAUAUAAAAUUAAGGGUAAGCUACACUUAUGGUCACUUUUGUUUGAUUUAACAAUGUCUUUAUCAUUUCACGGAGAUAAUACCAACACUAACAACCAUACUUUUUGCUACAAAGAUAAUAUCAAUUUCAAGCCUUAGUGGUCUCGUGUCUUAAUCUAUUUUUAGCUCAAGCAUCGGAGAGAGAUUACAGGUAAAGGAUAUGGCAUUUUAUAUUUCCAACUUUGUCAAUUGAAUAAAAAAAAAUAAAAGGUAUUUUUGAAAGUCAUUUUUUAUAUAAAAUCUUUAAAAUAUUUUUUUACUUUUAAAAUUUUUAAUUUUUUUUAUAAUUUAUAUUUAAUUUUUAAAAUUUUAAGAAUUUUUAAAUAUUUUUAUAAUUUUUAAAAUUCAGACUAAAAUGACAAAUUUUGUAAACAUUGAGGACUAACUUUGUUGAAUUUUUAAAAUUUAGGAUCAAAUUAGUAGAAUGUGUAAAUAUUGAAGGGUUAAAUUUUUUAUUAGGCCAAUAAAAUAAAGUCACGUUAGACUAACUCACGGAAGAAUGACUAAAAUAUUUAAUUUCAAAAAAUUAAAUAAUUAAAAAAAAAUUAAUAGUUGGGUGAUUGAAAUAGAACAAUAUGAAUAGUUAGAUGACUAUUCUUGUACUUUACAACUAAAAUAUUAAUUUAAUUUAGGUUUAACAUAUUUCUGUUAAUCAAAUUGUAAAAAUAUUCAGUAAUUGUUGGUCUAACAAAACAAUUUAAUAGUUUCACAAAAAAAAAAAUAGUUUAAUUCAAAACUUAUUAAGAAAAAAAUAUUUAAUAAUGAAAAAAAGAAAAGCAUUUUUUUAAAAAAUUUGUAAUAAUAAGAAAAAUAUUUUCUUAUAAAAAUAAGAAAAAUAUUUUUUAAUAAUAAAACACAAAAAGAAUUCACAAAAAUACUGUAAUACAAAAAGGGAAAAUUGUAAUUAAAUAUUUUUUAAUAUUAUUUUAAAACAAUUUAUAAAAAUAAUUAAACAUUUUAAAAAGUCAAGAUGUUUUUAAUUCAACCAAAGUACUUUGCACGUUGUAUCGAAAGUAUAUUAUUUAAAUUUUAUAAGAAAAAUAUUUUUAAAUAAAUAAAAAGCACAAAAGAAAAUAAUUUAAUUAUAAUAAGUAUUUUUCGGGUAAAAAGAGGGGAAAAAAUAAAAGAAUUCAUAAAAAUGAUAUGAAAAGGAAAAGUUAAUUAAAUGCUUUAUAAUAUUAUUUUAAAAGAGCUCAUAAAAAUAAUUAAAAAUUUUAGAAGAAUAUUUUAGUUUUUCUUAACACUUUUUGGAGCUGACACAUAAUUUAUAGAUAGAUAGAUAAUCAUACCCUAAAAAUCUAUCCUUUAUAAAGAACUAAAUGUAGUUGUUAUUAUUACCUUGCAGAGUAUUUGGUGAAUUAUGGAAUUUGUAGGACCAAUUUGUGAAGCAUUAAAGUGCUUAGGAGAUCCAACAUGUACAUACAUAGAGCAUCACAGAAAACUUGAAGACAGGAUGAAUGAUCUUCUGGCAAAACAACGCCAACUAAAUGCUAUGAAGCGAGAUGUGGAGCUGAGAAUAGAGGCGGAGCUUCGAUGGGGAAGACUUUUAAGGAAAGAAGUAGAGAACUGGCUUCUAGAGGUGCAAACCGUCAAUGGCAAAGUACAGGAGGUUGAUAAAAGAAAGCAAAAUGUGUCUUGUUUUUCACGUGGGCGCCUUGGGAAACAAGUUUCCCAAACAGUUGAAGAAGUAAAGGAAAUUAUUGAACAAGGCAGGUUCACUGGAGCUCUAGUAAUUGAUGAUCCAUCUACUGCUGGAGUGCCUUUUCAGUUGGAACAUUUGGAAGGUGAAACCGAGGUGAUUGAAGUCAUUUGGAAGCAUUUGAUGAGUGAUGAAAUUGGAAUGGUUGGUGUAUGUGGAAUGGGCGGGAUCGGGAAAACCACUAUAAUGAAGCACAUACACGAUCAACUAUUGGAGGAGACUAAAUCUAAACCCUUGUUUGAGAAAAUCAUUUGGGUCACUGUUUCACAGGACUUCAACAUCACCAGGUUACAACAAGACAUUGCAGAUGCUAUGAAUAUUAAAGAUCUUCCGGAAUCUGAAGAAAAGCGUGCAGCUGUGUUAAGGAACAAAUUGCGACAAAUAAGAUAUGUAUUGAUCUUAGAUGAUGUUUGGGAAGGGUUCGUUCUCGAAAAGGUAGGGAUCCCUGAACCAAUAUCCAGCAAUCGGAGUAAGUUGGUAUUAACUAGUAGAUUGAAAGAGUUUUGUAAAUCUAUAGGCUGUCAUGAGAUAGUCGAAGUGCCUCUACUUUCCUUUGACGAGUCCAUGAAUUUAUUCUUGGUUCAUACCGGACAUGAGGUUCUAAAGGUUCCAUCUUUGGAAAAAAUUUUGGGCGAUAUUGUUAGAGAGUGUGAUAGGUUACCCCUUGCCAUAAAAGUAAUAGCUAGUAGCAUGAAGGGAAUAUAUGAUGUUGUUGAAUGGAGGAAUGCAUUAACAGAGUUACGUAACCAUGUAACAAGUGUGAAGGACACAGAUAAAGAAAUAUACGGGCGAUUAAAGUUCAGUUUCGACCGUUUGAAAGAUUUGAAUAUCCAAAAUUGUUUCCUUUAUUGCUCACUGUACCCAGAAGACUAUAGAAUUCCAAGGAUGGAAUUAAUAGAAUAUUGGAUAGACGAGAGAUUUCUUGAAAUGGCGAGUCGACAACAAUUGCAUGAUAGGGGUCAUACUAUAUUAAAUAGGCUGAUAAACAACUGUUUGUUGGAAAAGGCAGGAGAUGAUGUUAAGAUGCAUGAUGUGAUGAGAGAUAUGGCAUUGUAUAUCAAACAACUUCAUUUUAUUGUAAAAGCUGGCACCGGAUUGGAAGAAUUACCAAGCAAUUCAGAAUGGAAAAAAGAUGUUGAAAGGGCUUCAUUCAUGAUGAAUAAGGUAUCAGAAAUUCCUCUAAGCUUGUCACCCAAUUGUGGAAACCUUUCGACCUUAUUACUGAAAAUGAAUGUGUCCUUGAAAAGGAUUUCCGAAUCAUUCUUUCAGCACAUGCAUAGUCUCAGCAUUCUUGACCUUUCUUAUACCGGUAUCAAGCAAUUGCCCAAUUCCGUUUCAAACUUGGAAACGCUCAAUGCAUUGGUGCUUCGUGGAUGCUGCAACUUGAGAUAUGUGCCUUCACUAGAAAAGCUUAAGGCUCUACGAAAGCUAGACCUCCGUGAUACAGCUAUUAAAGAGGUGCCUAAAGGUUUGGAAAUGUUAGUAAAUCUGACAUAUCUUGAUUUAUCUACUGAAAGCUUAAAGGAGUUCCCAAUGGCAAUUCUCCCUCAGCUUUCCUGUCUACAAUAUUUGAUAUUUUACAGUAAAUCACGUACUGUAAAACUGGAUGGAUCGGAAGCUGCCAGAUUAAGGAAGCUAGAGGAAUUUGAAGGGAGAUUUAAUGAGUUGACAGACUUUAAUGACUACACCGACUCUAUACGAAGUCAAAGUCUUACUUCUUACUUGCUUGUCAUGGCACCACCUGAAGCCAAGUUUAAAGUCAAAGAGGGAACCAGAAAAUUAAAGCUUAAGUAUGAUGGUUCAGGAGACAUCACAGUCCCAAAACUAAGGAAAAUGACAAAAGGACUCAAAGGUACGAUCGAAUCAAAUCUAUAUUAUGUUAAUCUACUUUUAUGAUAUUAAUUUCGUCAGUGUUGAUAUUCAUAUUCCUUUUAGUUAUUGAAUAUUUUAUUCAAAACACAUCGAGUUAAAUAUAAAUACAAUAUUUAAAUGAAGGACAACGAUAGAAAAACUUUUUGAGGAUUGGAAUUAAAUUAUAUAUUUAUCUGAUAGUAAAAAUAUAAUUUUACCAUCUUAAUAGUUUAUAUAUUUAUAAUUUUUGAAGGAUUAAAUUAAAAUUUUAUAAUUUUGAGGAAUUAAAAUAUAAUUUUACUAUUAUUAAUUUAAAAAUAAAAAAUUUUCCAGCUGGCCGCCUGCAAACCCCCGGCUUAGCCACUGAUUCAAAUUAUUUGGUAGCAAAAUAAAAAAUAAAAAAAUACAUUUAGCCAAUUGAGCUUUCAAAGUUUUUUAUUAAUCUGGUCCAAACAUUAAUCAAACCUGCUUAUGUGGCAUCAAAAUCAGUUUUCAACAUUUCAUAAUCAUAUUUUGAGGAAAUUGAAAAAUGAGAAAUGCUUUCUAAAUAUAUAAUUGAUUAAAGCCAAUAUUCAAGAAUAAUUUAUAAAUACUUUUAUAUGCUGCUAAAUAUUGAAUAUCUGUGGAAUCUGUGUCCUUUGUAUAUUUGCAUUUUAUUUAUUUUUAGCAUGCCUUUUGUUUCUUUUCGCAUAUUUUUAACAGUUGAAGGUGUGGAAUAUGUGGCCUUUAAAGAGGAAAAUGGACAAGUGAAAGUGAUUGGUGACGUGGAUCCUGUUCGAAUCGUAAUGAAGCUGAGAAAAUAUAUCCAUGUUGAUAUCUUGUCUGUGGGUCCAAACCGGAGGAGCUUUCGCUCUCUUCUACCCAAGAAGGAAGUAAUUUUAAGUGGAUGCCAGAUCGGAAGAGGUCCAGUGAUUCUUCCAACUGAUCUUAUGCUUCUGAGAAUUUUUGAAUCCCACAAUGUGAGAAGCUUAAGCGAUAUCUCCAUAUUCUUCCAACAAGCAAGCCAGUUAAGGUUCUGUUCAGUUGAAGAUUGUAAAGGGAUAGAAUCCAUUCUCGACUCGUCUUUGUCGAACUCGCUUUGCAGACCACUUGAGAACCUUGAGUACUUGUGGCUUGAAAGGUUGGCUAAUUUGCAUGUGCUUAUUAAAUUCGAAGCACCUCUUUCUAUUUCUAGGUCACGGCCUCUACUAGGCAUCUUUUCUCAUCUUAAAUCAUUUGUGAUUAAAAAAUGCCUAAACAUGAAGCAGCUCUUCCCAUUUAAGCUAGCACAUGACCUUCAAAACCUGGAGAAUCUGGUGGUUUGUAAUUGCGUACAAAUGGAGGAAAUAAUAUCAUCAGAGGAAGAGAAUCACAAGGGAAACGGAAUAAACACUCCCAUGAAAUUCAGUCUUCCCAAAUUAAGGGAGUUAGAAUUGAAGAACUUACCAGAGCUGAAGAGCAUAUGCAGUUCAAAUAGGGAAAUGGUAUGCAAUUCUCUUCGGAAUAUUGAAAUAUCGAAAUGUACGAAUCUGAAAAGGAUGCCUCUGUAUCUUCCUCUUUUUCAAGAUACACACCAAUCAGCUCCUUCUGCUCAUCCUUUCGGAAGAAUCCGCAUAUGUCCAAAGGAGUGGUGGGAAUCAGUAGAGUGGGACUAUCCGAAUGCUAAGGAGGUUCUGCGACCUUGGUUGUGCCGUGUUUAGCGCUGCUGGAAGCCUUUGCUGGUCAAAUCAAAUUCCGGAUCAAGCUAAACAGUGAGUCUUCAUUUCUUGCUUUUAUUUCUAGAAAAAAAUUGAAGAUUUUUUAUUCUUCCAAAAAGAAAACGGGAAAACCUACAAGAAGAGGAUUAUGACUGGCAAAAUAGAAACCAAAGAGAACAAAAAUAUUGCUAAUGUUUAAAACAAAUUUAGAUCAAUUAGCAUCAUGCUUUGUUACCAGCUAUCGGCUAAUUUGGUUGAAAAUGGUUUUAAUAAAGCACGGUCCCAUUUGCUUCUUUGUUUAACCCCAAUGAUUAGGCUUGCUCUAGAACCCUUGAGAUUCUCAUUAUGACAUUAAUGAUUUGAAAGAAUGAACAGCCCCUUUUUCUUCUUUAUUUUGUAACUGCAAGCUUUAAGUUGAUAUAAAUAUGUUUUCCAAUGUAGUAUUCUUGUUUGCUUAGAUCAAUGUCAAAAACCUUGCCUCUAAUGCUUCCCCUUCUUCUCCAC